GGAUGAGUUGCGAACGGGUGAGUAACGCGUAGGUAACCUGCCUUGUAGCGGGGGAUAACUAUUGGAAACGAUAGCUAAUACCGCAUAACAAUGGAUGACACAUGUCAUUUAUUUGAAAGGGGCAAUUGCUCCACUACAAGAUGGACCUGCGUUGUAUUAGCUAGUAGGUGAGGUAAUGGCUCACCUAGGCGACGAUACAUAGCCGACCUGAGAGGGUGAUCGGCCACACUGGGACUGAGACACGGCCCAGACUCCUACGGGAGGCAGCAGUAGGGAAUCUUCGGCAAUGGGGGCAACCCUGACCGAGCAACGCCGCGUGAGUGAAGAAGGUUUUCGGAUCGUAAAGCUCUGUUGUAAGUCAAGAACGGGUGUGAGAGUGGAAAGUUCACACUGUGACGGUAGCUUACCAGAAAGGGACGGCUAACUACGUGCCAGCAGCCGCGGUAAUACGUAGGUCCCGAGCGUUGUCCGGAUUUAUUGGGCGUAAAGCGAGCGCAGGCGGUUUGAUAAGUCUGAAGUUAAAGGCUGUGGCUCAACCAUAGUUCGCUUUGGAAACUGUCAAACUUGAGUGCAGAAGGGGAGAGUGGAAUUCCAUGUGUAGCGGUGAAAUGCGUAGAUAUAUGGAGGAACACCGGUGGCGAAAGCGGCUCUCUGGUCUGUAACUGACGCUGAGGCUCGAAAGCGUGGGGAGCGAACAGGAUUAGAUACCCUGGUAGUCCACGCCGUAAACGAUGAGUGCUAGGUGUUGGAUCCUUUCCGGGAUUCAGUGCCGNAGCUAACGCAUUAAGCACUCCGCCUGGGGAGUACGACCGCAAGGUUGAAACUCAAAGGAAUUGACGGGGGCCCGCACAAGCGGUGGAGCAUGUGGUUUAAUUCGAAGCAACGCGAAGAACCUUACCAGGUCUUGACAUCCCGAUGCUAUUUCUAGAGAUAGAAAGUUACUUCGGUACAUCGGUGACAGGUGGUGCAUGGUUGUCGUCAGCUCGUGUCGUGAGAUGUUGGGUUAAGUCCCGCAACGAGCGCAACCCCUAUUGUUAGUUGCCAUCAUUCAGUUGGGCACUCUAGCGAGACUGCCGGUAAUAAACCGGAGGAAGGUGGGGAUGACGUCAAAUCAUCAUGCCCCUUAUGACCUGGGCUACACACGUGCUACAAUGGUUGGUACAACGAGUUGCGAGUCGGUGACGGCGAGCUAAUCUCUUAAAGCCAAUCUCAGUUCGGAUUGUAGGCUGCAACUCGCCUACAUGAAGUCGGAAUCGCUAGUAAUCGCGGAUCAGCACGCCGCGGUGAAUACGUUCCCGGGCCUUGUACACACCGCC
rnacentral:rRNA from 1 species